AAGUCGUAACAAGGUUUCCGUAGGUGAACCUGCGGAAGGAUCAUUAUAAUGUUUCCAACACCACCCAACAACUGUGAACGGCGAUCAACUUGGCGACACCAAGAUUAAUUUUUUGGAUAGACCAUGCCCUUAAUACCGGCAAACAUGGUUUCUGUCGUCUUAUUUUUUAAACAAAUUGUAAUACAGCUUAAAUGAAAAAAACAACUUUUAGCAACGGAUCUCUAGGCUCUU
rnacentral:misc_RNA from 1 species